CUUCUGGGCCGCGUUGGGGAUGCUGUGGUCCCCGGCGUCGCGGGCGUUCAACCUGGACGCGGACGGGGCCACGGUGUACAGCGGCCCCCGGGGCAGUUACUUCGGCUACGCGGUGGACUUCCACCUCCCUGACGCUCGCACAGCCAGUGUCCUGGUGGGGGCCCCCAAAGCCAACACCAGCCAGCCGGACAUCGUGGAAGGGGGAGCCGUGUACUACUGUCCUUGGCCGCCCGAGGGGUCUGCGCCCUGCAAGCAGAUACCCUUUGACACCACCAGAAAAAAGAAAAGAAAAAUGUGGGUCAGAGCUACCCAAGUAAAUGACAGAAAAAAUAACAUGCAAGUUAUAGGAUUUAGGAGGAGCAGAAUUCUGUGGUCCAACAACAGAAAGAUCAGAGUUAAUGGAACUAAAGAACCUAUAGAAUUUAAAUCGAAUCAAUGGUUUGGAGCAACAGUGAAAGCUCAUAAAGAGAAAGUCGUGGCCUGUGCACCUUUAUAUCACUGGAGAACUCUUAAACCGUCACCAGAAAAGGACCCAGUUGGUACCUGCUAUGUAGCAAUUCAGAAUUUCAGUGCAUAUGCUGAGUACUCCCCUUGUCGGAACAGCAAUCUUGAUCCUGAAGGCCAGGGUUACUGCCAAGCAGGAUUUAGUCUGGAUUUUUAUAAGAAUGGAGACCUCAUAGUAGGUGGACCUGGAAGUUUUUACUGGCAAGGUCAGUUGAUCACCACCAGUAUUGCCGAUGUCAUUGCAAAUUAUUCAUUCAAGGACAUUCUACGGACACUGGCUGGAGAAAAGCAGACAGAAGUGGCUCCUGCUUCCUAUGAUGACAGCUACCUUGGUGAGAUCCGUCACUCAAGAAACUUGUGGUUUCCUAAGAGACAAACAGAUUAAAUGGAGAUGCAAAUUUGAUUCCUGACUUGUUUGAUAUCUUAUGAACAUUUUCUUUCUAGGUUAGAAUGGUCUGAGCUUUUCUUUAUAAAUUUAUAAAGAUGCUUUCAUCCAUCAUGUAUGUAAUCUACAGAGUCUUAGUGGGAUAUUUUUCUAGCCGCUUUUUUGUAGACUCCAUAACAUUCCUUUGCACGUCAAUGAUUUUGCCG
rnacentral:lncRNA from 1 species